AAAAUCAUCAUUUGUGUCCUACUGAAGAAACAAAGUCACCUACAUCUUGGAUGCCCUGGGGUCAUGCAGGAGUACACACUACACUGGAAGUCUCCCAGCGCUGCCCCGACCGGUGUGUGAGCAGGGAUGCCGUACCACUCAGAGGAAGUGUAACCAGCCACAGCUCCUGACUCCACCACGACAGGCAAGAGGUGCACAGGGAAACCCGCAUCCUUCAGACUGGAGGAUGUAUGAACACAACAUACAGUCAGUUCAUGCUGUUGCAGAGACCCAUCCAAACACAGUCAUUCAAUUCAACAAAAAGUAAUUUUAAACAUCAUAAAUCAGUUAGAGUCAGUUUACAUGAAUCAGGACUGGCAACAGAAGGGGCUUCUGCUUGUGCUCAAAAACAGCCCCACCCCCCACAGAAAUUUAAUGGGGGCUCAGGGCAAAAAUGUCACCAAAAUGAAUUUUGAAAAAAACAAAAGGCCCCAAAAAUUAAUUGGGGGAAACGAGAAGUUAAAGGUGCAAUGUGUAAAAUGUAUUUAAAAUUUAUCUAUUGACAGAAAUGCAAUAUAAUAUACAUAACUUUGUGUUCAGUGGCAUAUAAAGACCUUACAUAAUGAACCGUUAUGUUUUUAUUACAUUAGAAUGAGCCGUCUAUCACAUACACCAUGUCUAGUUGCCAUUUUGCGCCGGCAUGUUUCUACAGCAGCCCUAAAUGGACAAACUGCUCUACAGAGCACGUGUUUUUAGAGGCAGCUUGCAUCGUCACUAUGUUGUAUACACACAUGAAGUAGCAGCAGUAGUAAUAGUCGUCUGGUUUAUUAGAAGCAGAGACCGUUCUUUGUUAGAAGUAAGAAGAAACCUCAUUGUUUCACACAAGCUGCUCUCUCAGACGACAACAUGUCGGCCAGACGGCCACUGUAGCUUCUCCGAAAGGGUGGGGUGUGCACCGUUAGUUGCAGUUCACAACCUCACUGCUAGAUGCCGCUAAAAUGUACACACUACACCUUUAAUGUAAGGUGACAUACAUUUUAGAUGAAUUGGUCUAAUAAAUGAUUCAACGACUCACUCAUAAAGACUGCUUUGUCUCUGGCCCUGUCCCAAAUGGCAAUCUAAACACUCACCGUCUUCCUACGAGUCCGCACUUUUGUGACGUAACGCCGCUUUGACUGUCGGGAAGAAGUCUGCUGUGGAGCUCGCACCAGUGCAGGCUCAGCAAAAGUGCGCAUCGAGGGCGCAUAUCGACUGCAAAGGUCGAUAUGCGCCCUAAAAUGAAAAAUGAGACAUGCUACGGUCUCACGAACUUAACGGAAAUGUACCCAGCAGCCAAUGUAAGUCCACAAGGCCGAAAGUGCAUAUGAAAUGUGCCAUUUGGGACAGGGCCCCUGAAUGAAUCAGCCUUAUCAUUUGAAAACAACGUUGUGAGAUCGCUGGAUAUAUCCUUAUAACUUGUCAGAGCUUUUACAGCACUCCAAUAUCAGAAAGCCAAAUUUCUAAACAUCACAUUCGGAGUAAGUGUAAAAUAUUUCCUCUUGAUGUAGCUUAUUCAUAUUCAUAUUGUAUAACUAAUUCCUAUUAAAUCCCUUGUCUAGGCCCUAAA